rnacentral:piRNA from 1 species
UUUUGUGAUGCAUGUGAGCUGUUCUGACU